rnacentral:rRNA from 1 species
AGAGUUUGAUCAUGGCUCAGAACGAACGCUGGCGGCAGGCCUAACACAUGCAAGUCGAGCGGGAAGCAUCCUUCGGGAUGUGGAGAGCGGCAGACGGGUGAGUAACACGUGGGAACGUACCCUUUGGUUCGGAACAACUCCGGGAAACUGGAGCUAAUACCGGAUAAGCCCUAUGGGGGAAAGAUUUAUCGCCGAAGGAUCGGCCCGCGUCUGAUUAGCUAGUUGGUGGGGUAAUGGCCUACCAAGGCGACGAUCAGUAGCUGGUCUGAGAGGAUGAUCAGCCACACUGGGACUGAGACACGGCCCAGACUCCUACGGGAGGCAGCAGUGGGGAAUAUUGGACAAUGGGCGAAAGCCUGAUCCAGCCAUGCCGCGUGAGUGAUGAAGGCCUUAGGGUUGUAAAGCUCUUUCGCACGCGACGAUAAUGACGGUAGCGUGAGAAGAAGCCCCGGCUAACUUCGUGCCAGCAGCCGCGGUAAUACGAAGGGGGCUAGCGUUGUUCGGAAUCACUGGGCGUAAAGCGCAUGCAGGCGGAUCGUUAAGUCGGGGGUGAAAUCCCGAGGCUCAACCUCGGAACUGCCUUCGAUACUGGCGAUCUUGAGUCCGGGAGAGGUGAGUGGAACUGCGAGUGUAGAGGUGAAAUUCGUAGAUAUUCGCAAGAACACCAGUGGCGAAGGCGGCUCACUGGCCCGGUACUGACGCUCAGGUGCGAAAGCGUGGGGAGCAAACAGGAUUAGAUACCCUAGUAGUCC